UGGGGAAUUUUGGACAAUGGGCGAAAGCCUGAUCCAGCAAUGCCGCGUGCAGGAUGAAGGCCCUCGGGUUGUAAACUGCUUUUGUACGGAACGAAAAGCCUGGGGCUAAUACCCCCGGGUCAUGACGGUACCGUAAGAAUAAGCACCGGCUAACUACGUGCCAGCAGCCGCGGUAAUACGUAGGGUGCAAGCGUUAAUCGGAAUUACUGGGCGUAAAGCGUGCGCAGGCGGUUUUGUAAGACAGAGGUGAAAUCCCCGGGCUCAACCUGGGAAUUGCCUUUGUGACUGCAAGGCUUGAGUGCGGCAGAGGGGGAUGGAAUUCCGCGUGUAGCAGUGAAAUGCGUAGAUAUGCGGAGGAACACCGAUGGCGAAGGCAAGCCCCUGGGCCUGCACUGACGCUCAUGCACGAAAGCGUGGGGAGCAAACA
rnacentral:rRNA from 1 species